rnacentral:lncRNA from 10 species
CAGAUAGCCAAGGAAACCUAAUUAUGCAUCCAACUCUCUGGCCCAUUGGCUGAGUCACCUGCCGGGAAGCUUUCAGAAUAUUUAUAGCCAAAUGGAGACCUCUCCCUGACUCUGCCUGGCCUUCAGACACUUUCAGAAGGCGGUUAACACCAUCUGGCCUUGAGAAUUCUGAGUCUUUAUAUUUCAGGAUUGAGCUGAGACCUUUGUGAAACAUCAUCUCUGGGAGGGCCAGCCUGGGCCCAGCUCACAGACAUAAGCUGUCCUCAUAUCCCAACUUCUCAUUGACUCACACACGCACUCAGUGCUUUAUUGAGCACCUAGUGUGUGUCAGUUGCUGGGCAAGGUGCCAGGGCUGUACUGUAGCAAGGAAAACAGGAGACAAGGUCCCUGCCAUCAUGAAGCUCAUGUGCUACAGGGAGUGACAGACAGCAGAAAAAUUUUGUCUGCUCCUAAGAAGAGGAUUUUCUGUCCAAGUUCAGUGGACGAGAGCACCAGACACCCCCUGGAAAGACUCAAGAUUCCAGCCCUGUCCUGUGGUCCCUUCAACUGACAGCAACCACUCACUCCCCAGCCCCACUUACUAUCAAGGGAGCCCAGGGCCUGCUUCACCCAGGCCCUGGGAACAAGAUUUGAGAAGCAAAUGAAUUGUGUGAGUUAAUUCAAGGGCCACCUUUGGCUCCCUUAGCAGCACAAAUUGUCCCUGAGGACAUUGACUCGAUUCUUGGAUACAAAGGGAGAUACGAAUUUACCUUUGACUGCUCUCUGGGCAUUAAAGCUGGUCUUGAAUGUUUUCUCUGGGCGGUUCCCUGUCAUUAGGGAGGUGCCCACAUUUACCAAAUCAACGAGCCCGAUUUCACCUGGUCACACCCUUCCUUGGCACAGAAAACAGUGACUUCUUUUUCCUCCUGCUAAUUUGCUGUCAAGAUGUUCUACUAAUCAUCAUCAUAAUUACUAAUAUUCACUGCCCACUUAGUAAGCUCUUUAUACCCAUUAACUCAAUUCAUUCUUGCAACGACCUUGUGAGGUGAAACUAUUGUUACCCACAGAUCACAGAAGAGGACACCGAGGCCUACAGAACUGUGGCAAAGACUGCUCCAUGUUCCCAACAUCCAUUUUUUUCCCUCUUUCAAAGUAAAAGAAAUCCAAUUUUACUAGGGAACAUGGCUGUCCAGAAUUCCCAGCCUCCUUUGUGGGUAAGUGUGGCCAUGGGACUCUGGUAUGGGCUAAGGAUGUCGGGGGAAGAGUCCCGCAGUGGUUCUGAAACACUCUCUCUAAGAGGUCACUGCUUCUUCAUCCCUUCUUUUAUUCUGGCAUCUGGAACUUGAAGGCCACCAUCUUGAACUGCGACGUAGGAGUGCCCUGAAUGGAGGUGCAUCUGGCUGGGAGGAUACCAUUGACCACCAUAACCAGGCCUAGUUAAGAAAGAAAUAAGCUUCUUCCUUCUUUAUUCUUCCUUUUUCCUCCUCCUCCUCCUCCUUCUUCUUCUCCUUCUACUUCUCCUUCUUCUUCUUCUCCCCGUUCCCCUCCCCUUCCCUUUCCCCCUCCUUCCCCCUCCCUCCUCC